rnacentral:lncRNA from 1 species
GAUGAUGAUGAUGUUAUUGCUUUCGUAUAUUGUUUUAUGAAUUUCACCGAGGUAAGUGAAUGGUAAAGGUUUUAUUAUUAAUAAAAGGAUUUGUUGUAAAUUAUACUCCAUUGGUCUUUUUGUGUUUUCUACCCACCUUUACCUCCGUGACGGUGAGAUAUCGUGAUGUCUUUACUGGGCUAGUGUAGCUCAUUCCUUAUUUAAUCAUUUCAGAUCAAGAGGACAUCGUUCCCGAGCCGGUUCCGCAGGAGGACGACGAAGGGGACGCCUAAAGACUCCAUAGUCAUAUUCGUAGCUUUUACUUUCAAGUUUUUCCUUUAGGUAGUUUGAUCUUUUAUAUUUUGUGAGCACGUUUUUGGUUUUAGUGUAAGGGAUGUUAUUCAAAUUUUGACUUCGCUUCCGCAUUUGAUAUUUAUAAUAUAAAUUUCAUUUUAAAUUUCUGGGGCUGCUACAGUUGGUAUCAGAGCCGCAUUUCUUCGGACCCAUCCCUUACACUAAUGUGCCUUAGAGAAAUACUCACCGAUAUAUUGUUACGCAAUCAUUCCUUGUGAAUGCAGGUACACGGGAAUGAGGAGAGGAAGGCCCCCACUAAACCGAGCGGCCCCAGAUAAUUCACUUCGGGAGUAUUUAGAUAGACUAUUCGAGAUGGUGGAGGCUCUUGCAGCUGCCCAGCAAAGGCAAGAGGAGAGAAGGGAGUUACCGGGACCUCCUCCGCUAGCGCAGGUUGAGCCCCCGCUGCAGCAGGCUGAUCCCGAGCCACCCCGGCAGGAGCCUGUUCCUCCACAGUACCACCCGACACCACAGCCGCGGUACGAUCCGGUACCACAGCCACAGUACCAACAGGUGCCGCCACAGCACAUUCCAGUGCCCCCACCACAUCAGCAGGCGCCACCACAGGGUCCCCCAGUUCACCCUCAGUCGGCCCCAGUCCCUCUACCUCGGACCCCGCUCCCUCCUUGAUCGACCCCAGCUUCAUAGAGAGGUACAGAAGACUGAACCCUUCUACUUUUUCAGGGGGAUCCUCUUUCGAAGAGGCCCAAUACUGGCUGGCAGAGACUGAGAGAGCUUUUGAGACCUUGGGAGUAGUUUCUGAGCAGAGGGCUGCCAUUGCCUCCUAUAUUUUGGUAGGGGAAGCAGUACGCUGGUGGGAGCUCAAGCGGGUCACCCUGCCUGUACCAGUUACUUGGGAGCAGUUCCUAGCGGCCUUCCAUGCGGAGUAUCUCCCUAAACACAUCCAACAUUUAAAGGAAAUGGAAUUUCUUCAAUUGGUCCAGGGAAAUAUGACAGUGUCGGAGUAUGCCCGCAAGUUCCUGGAGCUGGGUCGACAUGCCCCGGAGACAUUGUUGGAUGAGGGCCGAAAGGCCAGAAAAUUCCAGUGGGGUCUCCGCCCGGCGAUCAGACAGCACUUAUUGGUGAUGGAGCUUGAGACAUAUUCGGCAGUCCUGGCAAAGGCGCAGAUCAUAGAAAGGAGCUUCGACACCCGCCAUCAGCUAGCGAAAAGUUCCCGACCCUCAGCCCCGCUCCGCAGGCCAGCGCCUACCAUGCCUGUCCAACCCAGUAAGAGGCCCAGACCUGCCGUCCAGGCCCCUCCUCAGGCUAUGGGGGCAGCACGUGGGAAGAUUUGUCAGUACUGCGGCAGGGAUCAUGGGGACCGACCCUGCUACCGCCUCAACAACACCUGUCGUAUAUGCGGCAAUGCCCAGCACUAUGCGAGGGAGUGCCGUAGGAACCAGAAUCAAGGGAGGCCUCCAAUCCAGGGCAGAGUUUACAACCUUACCCAGAAGGAUGCCGACGCAGACCCGGACGUGGUACAUGGUAUGUAUACUAUCUCUGGCCACAUUGCUCAUGUUUUGUUUGAUACUGGUGCAUCACAUUCUUUUAUUUCACAUGUUCUUGCUUCCAAAAUUUGUGUAUCACCUGAUAGACUUGAUUCAUUAUUGCUUGUAUCUACCGCUGGGGGGGAGACAUUGCUAGGAGAGGUUGUCUAUAGGGCAUGUGCCGUGGAGAUAGCAGAUAGGAAAUUGAGGGUAGACCUGAUAGGGUUAGACACAAGGGAUUUUGAUGUAAUCCUAGGAAUGGAUUGGCUAGCGGCGUAUCACGCCACCAUAGACUGCUUUAACAAAAAGAUUGUAUUUAAUCCUCCCAACGAUGAGCCAUUUACAAGUUAAUAAAAUUAUUCGGUACUGAUUUCCCCUAAUGGCAAAUUCUUUUCUUCUUAAUUCCCAGUGCCUUAAUAUUGUAUUUUCUCUAACUAGGUAAACCCAAGAAAGAAGUUUGUAUCCAAGAGAUUCCAGUAGUCCGAGACUUUCCAGACGUAUUUCCGGAUGAACUGCCCGGUCUACCAGGGGACAGAAAGGUCGAGUUCACCAUAGACUUACUGCCAAGAACCCAGCCCAUCUCGGUAGCUCCUUACCGAAUGAGCCGCAUCGAGAUGGAAGAGCUAAGGAAACAAAUCACUGAGCUACAAAACAGUGGCUUCAUUAGACACAGCAUUUCCCCAUGGGGUGCCGGGGUUACCUUUGCAAAGAAAGGGGAGGGAACGUUGAGACUGUGCAUUGAUUAUAGAAGGAUAAACAAGGUAACAAUUAAGAACAAGUACCCUCUUCCCCGGAUUGAUGACCUUUUCGAUCAGUUGCAGGGUGCACAGGUCUUUUCCAAAAUAGAUCUACGAUCAGGUUACCAUCAGGUAAAAGUGAGAGCCGAAGACAUCCCCAAGACGGCAUUCCGAACCAGGUACGGACACUAUGAGUUCCUGGUUAUGCCGUUUGGGCUAACCAACGCCCCGGCCAUCUUUAUGGAUCUAAUGAACAGAAUCUUUAGAGAAUUCUUGGAUCAAUUUGUCAUCGUGUUCAUCGAUGAUAUCUUAGUCUACUCAAAAAGUAGGGAAGAACAUGCUCAUCAUCUUGCCGAAGUCCUACAGGUUCUCAGGGAAAAGAAGUUGUAUGCGAAGUUGAGCAAGUGUGGAUUUUGGCUCGAACAAACCGCCUUCCUAGGACAUGUUAUAUCGAAGGAAGGGGUGUCGGUGAACCCCGAAAAGGUUGAAGCGGUACUUGGUUGGGAAAGACUGACAAUAGUUAAGGAAAUUCGCAGUUUUCUAGGGAUGGCAGGUUAUUACCGCCGGUUUAUCGAAGGGUUCUCUAGUCUAGCAGCUCCUCUGACCCGACUCACAAAGAAGAAUGCAAGUUUGAAUGGAAUGAGAACUGCGAGAGGAUUUUUUCAGAGUUGAAGAAGCGACUGACUACUGCACCAGUGCUGGCUCUACCGAGUGGAUCAGAGGGUACACAGUUUAUAGUGAUGCCUCAUAUCUGGGCCUGGGUUGUGUCCUAAUGCAGCAUGGAAAGGUUAUAGUAUAUGGGUCUAGACAGCUAAAGAAUCAUGAGAAGAACUAUCCUACCCACGACUUGGAGCUUGCCGCAAUCAUACACGCCUUGAAAACCUGGCGCCAUUAUUUGUAUGGAGAGACCUUUCAGAUCUACACCGAUCAUAAGAGUUUGAAGCAUAUCUUCACUCAGAAGGAUCUCAACAUGCGUCAGAGAAGGUGGAUGGAACUCCUCAAGGACUAUGAUUGUGACAUCCUAUACCAUCCAGGUAAGGGCAACGUGGUGGCCGAUGCCCUCAGCAGGAAAAGUGCAGGCACCGUAGCCCAUCUGAUGGUUUCAAAAUGUAGGUCCAUUGGGGCUACACAGCAGGUUCGCCUGCGAGACCUGAAGAGAGUCACAUGUUUGGGCCACCUAGCAGUCCAACCCGAGUUAAUCCAAAGAAUAAAGGAAGCCCAGUCAGUCGACCCCGCCCUAGUAACCCGCAAUAAGAAUGCAGAACAGGGAGUGAGCUCAGAAUUUCAGAUCUCUGCCGACGGAUUGAUUCGUUUCAAGGACAGAGUGUGUGUCCCAGACGACAGUGAGUUAAAAAGAGACAUCAUGACAGAGUCCCAUAGUUCAAGGUUCGCAAUGCAUCCAGGAAGUACGAAAAUGUACCAAACUAUGCGACCUCGGUUCUGGUGGAAUGGGAUGAAGAGAGAUAUAGCCGACUUUGUAUCUAAGUGCUUGGUAUGUCAGCAGGUCAAAGCAGAACAUCAACGCCCGGGCGGGUUACUUCAGCCUUUACCGAUUCCAGAGUGGAAGUGGGAACACAUCACCAUGGACUUCGUAUUGGGACUACCCAAGGCACGAUCGGGACAUGAUGCUAUAUGGGUAAUUGUUGACCGACUCACUAAGUCUUCCCACUUCUUGGCCAUCAGAAUGAUUGAUCCUUUGGAUAAGUUGGCAAGAAUGUAUAUCCGGGAGGUAGUCAGACUGCAUGGAGUUCCAGUAACAGUGGUAUCCGACAGGGAUCCCAGAUUCACUUCUCGGUUUUGGAAUAGUUUCCAGCAAGCUAUGGGAACAAAGCUGUCUCUUAGUACUGCUUUCCACCCCCAAACUGAUGGACAAUCAGAGAGGACAAUUCGUACGCUAGAGGAUAUGCUCCGAGCUUGUGUCCUUGACUCCGGGGGCCAUUGGGACGACCACCUACCCCUGAUAGAGUUUGCUUACAACAACAGUUACCAAGCAAGCAUCGGCAUGGCCCCAUACGAGGCGCUAUACGGGCGUCCGUGCAGGUCACCGAUCUGUUGGGAAGAAGUGGGCGAUAGAAGAUUGUUUGGCCCGGAUUUGGUAGAAGAAACCACGUCCAAGAUAGUUAAGAUCAAGAAGAACAUCCAGACAGCUUAGAGUAGGCAGAAGAGUUAUGCUGAUACCCGGAGGAGAGACCUGGCUUUUGAGAAAGGCGACCGGGUGUUUCUUAAAGUCACCCCCUUCAAGGGAAUUAGUAGGUUCGGCAGGAGGGGAAAAUUAAACCCCAGAUAUAUUGGACCCUUUGAAAUCUUAGACAAGAUUGGUACCACUGCCUACAGACUUGCACUGCCUCCUGAGCUCUCCCGGGUUCAUAAUGUGUUUCACGUAUCUAUGCUACGUAAGUACAAUCCGGACCCUUCUCAUGUCUUGGCUCAUGAACCGCUUCCACUCCGAGAGGACUUGUCUUAUGAAGAAGUACCGGUCGGUAUCACAGACUAAGAGAGCAGAAUACUCCGCAACCGGGAAAUAUCAUUUGUAAAAGUCGUGUGGCAGAACCACACGCCCAAGGAGGCCACCUGGGAACUGGAAUCAUAAUUUAGGGCCCAAUAUCCCCAUCUGUUCGAUCAAGAGUAACGAGGCAAAUUUGGGGACCAAAUUUCUUUAAGGGGGGGAGAGUUAUAGCGCCCGGGAAAAAUUGAAGAAGGAAAAAAAAAACGCUCGUGCCACGUUAGCAGACCCAGUCAGCAGGCCUGGCCAACCAGGACCUGCCACGUGGCAAAACCACAUCGACCGGGGACGGGCCACGUUGGCGAUCCGCGUGCGCGCGAUCCGACGGCACAGAUCAAUCGCGCGCACGGACGGCCCAGAUUUAAUCAAAAACGGACGGCCCAGAUUAAAACAAAAUGGACGGCUGAGAUCAAAAGGCAAAAGGGUAUAAAUAAGACCCCCACACCAGACCCCAAACCCUAGCCGCCUGCCCUCGCCGGAGAAGACGAACCAGAAGCCGGUCGCCGCCACCCGCCGCCGCACCGGAGGGAUUUCCGACCGCCGAUCGAAGUAAAUUUCAUACUCCUGACUCGUUUUUCCACGAUGAUUUCCCCAGUGGCCAAAUCGGAGCCAAAAUCCCAGCCAAACGGCCAGAAAACACGGCCGAAAGCCAGCGGCGCCGCCGCGCCCCUUCUCAGUUUUUGCCUCCAAUGAGGCCCUUCCCGGCCUCCGUUUAAUGCAAUUUUUAUAUCACCGUGAUCACCAUUCUUUUCUCUACAGGUUGAUCGGAGCCGAAUCACCAAAACACGAACUUCAUCGGAGAGCCGCCGCACCCGAGAGCACCGCCGCCGGUAAGCUUCGGUUUUCCGUAAAUUUUCGGCCCCACGAGGGCCGUAGGGUUGUUUUAUCGCAGGAACCAAUGCGAGUGUGGCCGAAUUCGGCCGGAAACGGCCAACCCGAGGCAAACCGCCGCCGCAAGCGGCGGAGCCGCCGUGCCGGAGUUGCGAUAUUGGCCGAAAGGGGCCCUGGGCCUAAUUUGGGAUUUUUUGGAACACGUGCAGGUACCAGUAGUGCGUUUCAGUUCCCCGAGAAAAAUUCAGGAAAAAUUAGGGACAGCCUGCAAGCGCACUGUGAAGCCGUGUUCGGACCCCGAAACGAGUAAGGACCCCUCACCUUAUUUCCUAUCACGGUUUUAAAGUUCAAUAAGUGAUAAAACGGUAUUUCAUGAAUCAACGAAUGUGUGAAAUUGCUUAAGGUCGCUAAUGGAGCCCGAGUCUAGUGUGUUUGUCGGUUAACUGUUAUUUGGCCUGUUUUACAGUUUUAAAUGCAGCAUGAGGUUCGAUGUUUUCAUUUUAUAGUUUCGUGUGCAUAUUUUACUGUUUUAUUGAUUAUGGAUUGAAUGACCGAGAUAUUGAUGCUGUAUGUUGUCUGUUUGGCAUAAAUUAUCGUUUUGCUUGUUUGUAUGUGAUUGAUAAUACUGACUGAGGGAAAAGGAGAAUGAAAGAUUAUGUAAAUAGAAAUUGUAUAAUGUGUUCAGCCUGACUACAUAUCCUGGGAGAUGGUGGACGGACCGGGUCCGUAGGGAACCCUACCGGGAUUGUGGUCUCCCAUACCGGACGGGGUAUGGAGAUCUUAUGUGUUUUGGCGUCCAUACCGGACGGGGUAUGGGGAUGGCCUGUUUCACCCUCAUACCGGACGGGGUAAUGAGGUCUAUGUUUUGGCGCCCAUACCGGACGGGGUAUGGGGAUGGCCAGUUUCACCUUCAUACCGGACGGGGUAAUGAGGUCUAUGGUUUGGCGCCCAUACCGGACGGGGUAUGGGGAUGACCAGUUUCACCCUCAUACCGGACGGGGUAAUGAGGUCUAUGGUUUGGCGUCCAUACCGGACGGGGUAUGGGGACGGCCCUGGAAUGGAUUUCAAGUGUUAAGGAUUAACGGGUAGCGGGACCCCUAUGAAUCCCCAUGGAUACUAGUGGGCUGGUGAAUUAGGAAAAUAUGUUGUGUAACGAUUGAAUUACGAAAAGUUUGAUAGGUAUUAUGUUAUACAGUUCAUAUAUAUGUUUUCAUGAUGAUGAUGAUGUUAUUGCUUUCGUAUAUUGUUUUAUGAAUUUCACCGAGAUAAGUGAAUGGUAAAGGUUUUAUUAUUAAUAAAAGGAUUUGUUGUAAAUUAUGCUCCAUUGGUCUUUUUAUGUUUUCUACCCACCUUUACCUCCGUGACGGUGAGAUAUCGUGAUGUCUUUACUGGGCUAGUGUAGUUCAUUCCUUAUUUAAUCAUUUCAGAUCAAGAGGACAUCGUUCCCGAGCCGGUUCCGCAGGAGGACGACGAAGGGGACGCCUAAAGACUCCAUAGUCAUAUUCGUAGCUUUUACUUUCAAGUUUUUCCUUUAGGUAGUUUGAU